GAUGAACGCUAGCGGGAGGCCUAACACAUGCAAGCCGAGCGGUAGAGUUCCUUCGGGGACUUGAGAGCGGCGCACGGGUGCGGAACACGUGUGCAACCUGCCUUUAUCUGGGGGAUAGCCUUUCGAAAGGAAGAUUAAUACCCCAUAAUAUAUUGAUUCGCAUGGAUUGAUAUUGAAAACUCCGGUGGAUAAAGAUGGGCACGCGCAAGAUUAGAUAGUUGGUGAGGUAACGGCUCACCAAGUCAGUGAUCUUUAGGGGGCCUGAGAGGGUGAUCCCCCACACUGGUACUGAGACACGGACCAGGCUCCUACGGGAGGCAGCAGUGAGGAAUAUUGGACAAUGGGUGAGAGCCUGAUCCAGCCAUCCCGCGUGAAGGAUGACGGCCCUAUGGGUUGUAAACUUCUUUUGUACAGGGAUAAACCUAGAUACGUGUAUCUAGCUGAAGGUACUGUACGAAUAAGCACCGGCUAACUCCGUGCCAGCCGCCGCAGUAACAC
rnacentral:rRNA from 1 species